GAAGUGGGCAGCCCAGCUGUCGACGAAUCCAUGCAUCCAGGGGCUUUAUAGAUUCUUCCUCCUUCAGACGGCUACAAGGACUUUGUUAAUCGUAAAGGAUGGCCAUCCUACAUACUCCAGGCUGUUGUUGACGACCAAUUCUGUUUUUGGAACAUCAGCUGUAAAAUGCCAGGCAGCGCACAUGAUGCAAAUGCCCUUUGGCAUUCUGAUCUUUUCCAAAGGGCUCAUCUCUUACCCAAGGGAAUCAAGACCAUUUUGGAUAAAGACACCAAUUUCCUGAUUGUAGGAGACCCUGCUUACCCACUUCUUGACUGGCUGAUCAAGGGAUACUCAAACUCCCCACUGCUGACUCCUGAGCAGGAAUCUUUCAACAGCUACCUAAUCUCAGUCAGGGUGGGAGUGGAGAUGACUUUUGGUUUGUUAAAGUCAAGGUGGAGGGUUCUGCUGAAGAGAAGUGACUUAUAUUUCACAUUUAUAUUUCGCAUUUCACUUUCAUGCCAACCAUGAUUGCCACCUGCUGUGCACUGCACAACUUCUGUCAGAAGGAACGGGAGCAUGCCAGCAGCAGCUGGUUGGAAGGGGCCCGUGAUCGGACAGUUCAUUUUCCACAGCCCAACCAGCCAGUUAACCCACAGUGCAGUAGUGGUGGCAGCAGCACAAGAGAGGCUUUGACUACCUAUAUGGCCGCUGCAGUCCCACUCCGGACAAGGCACCAACACUAAAUCUUUCUGGCUUUUUUAUUCACUAAAAAAAAUGUCAACCUUACCAGUGAUGAAAGUCAGGCAAGGAAAAAAUCCCUGAACUUUUCUUUGAGCGAUAUGGCGGGC